UACGUAGGGUCCGAGCGUUGUCCGGAAUUACUGGGCGUAAAGCGCGCGCAGGCGGCCCGCGAGGUGUCACGUGAAAGCCCCGGGCUCAACCCGGGAGGGUCGUGGCAAACCGGCGGGCUUGAGGCCGGUAGAGGUGGGUGGAACUCCUGGUAGAGUGGUGAAAUGCGUAGAGAUCAGGAAGAACACCCGUGGCGAAGGCGGCCCACUGGGCCGGUACUGACGCUGAGGCGCGAAGGCGUGGGGAGCGAACGGG
rnacentral:rRNA from 1 species